ACCGCUUUGGGACAAAUUCAGUAUCAGCAGCCAUUUCUUCUGUUCUACGUUCUUCAUCAAUUCCAAUCUACCGCUCAAAAUCAUCCACUGUCAUGCCCAAAGGAGUGCAAAAGUUUUCAUGCUGAUAUCUUUCACUACUGUCACUAUUGUCUGUGACAUCAUCUCAGCUCGGCACAACAAAACUAGCCUUCAUGUAACAGUUGGCUUUCAAAGAUUGUGAGAUUUUAUUCCAUGCUUCUCUCCGAAUGUGUAAUGAAUCCAGUACAGAUAACGUCUAGGAUAUGGUAUAAGCAUCUUGGAUGGACCACAGCGAGUUUGAAUGUUAACAGAUAUGUUACUGUCACUGUUGACAUGAUGACAUGAGAAGUUCACUUCCUUGACAGUGGUCAGCAGCCCCCACAAUCCCCAGAAAAAAGGCAAAAUGUAAUGAAUGUCCUGGAAAAGAAUUAAAGAGCAAUCACUACAAAACAUGAAUCCGGAAUCUAAACUGUUUUCAAUCACAUCGGAGUAUCCAGUCUCAAAUUAAUAGAUGGGUCAUCCCACUUGCAGCGGGGGCUUAAAUCUCUGACUGAUAUGACCGACUUCAGGGUAGAAGAAACUUGUACAAAAGUGCGAACUACUAAAUAUGGCAGUUUUUCCAGAUGAUCUUUCAUUAGGUUUCUCUCAAGAAAAUGGCAUUAUUCUGAUCAUAUGUUCAAGCUUCAUCACAGCAUUGUUAAUCCCAUAGCAACUCUCGUAUAUUACAUGAAUCUGUAAACUUCUAACUUGUGGUAUACACAUGAUGAAUAGGCUGUAUGUUUAUAGGUCCAGGACUAAA